rnacentral:rRNA from 1 species
AUAAUGGGUCAGCGACUUAUAUUCUGUAGCAAGGUUAACCGAAUAGGGGAGCCGAAGGGAAACCGAGUCUUAACUGGGCGUUAAGUUGCAGGGUAUAGACCCGAAACCCGGUGAUCUAGCCAUGGGCAGGUUGAAGGUUGGGUAACACUAACUGGAGGACCGAACCGACUAAUGUUGAAAAAUUAGCGGAUGACUUGUGGCUGGGGGUGAAAGGCCAAUCAAACCGGGAGAUAGCUGGUUCUCCCCGAAAGCUAUUUAGGUAGCGCCUCGUGAAUUCAUCUCCGGGGGUAGAGCACUGUUUCGGCAAGGGGGUCAUCCCGACUUACCAACCCGAUGCAAACUGCGAAUACCGGAGAAUGUUAUCACGGGAGACACACGGCGGGUGCUAACGUCCGUCGUGAAGAGGGAAACAACCCAGACCGCCAGCUAAGGUCCCAAAGUCAUGGUUAAGUGGGAAACGAUGUGGGAAGGCCCAGACAGCCAGGAUGUUGGCUUAGAAGCAGCCAUCAUUUAAAGAAAGCGUAAUAGCUCACUGGUCGAGUCGGCCUGCGCGGAAGAUGUAACGGGGCUAAACCAUGCACCGAAGCUGCGGCAGCGACGCUGAUGCGUUGUUGGGUAGGGGAGCGUUCUGUAAGCCUGUGAAGGUGUGCUGUGAGGCAUGCUGGAGGUAUCAGAAGUGCGAAUGCUGACAUAAGUAACGAUAAAGCGGGUGAAAAGCCCGCUCGCCGGAAGACCAAGGGUUCCUGUCCAACGUUAAUCGGGGCAGGGUGAGUCGACCCCUAAGGCGAGGCCGAAAGGCGUAGUCGAUGGGAAACAGGUUAAUAUUCCUGUACUUGGUGUUACUGCGAAGGGGGGACGGAGAAGGCUAUGUUGGCCGGGCGACGGUUGUCCCGGUUUAAGCGUGUAGGCUGGUUUUCCAGGCAAAUCCGGAAAAUCAAGGCUGAGGCGUGAUGACGAGGCACUACGGUGCUGAAGCAACAAAUGCCCUGCUUCCAGGAAAAGCCUCUAAGCAUCAGGUAACAUCAAAUCGUACCCCAAACCGACACAGGUGGUCAGGUAGAGAAUACCAAGGCGCUUGAGAGAACUCGGGUGAAGGAACUAGGCAAAAUGGUGCCGUAACUUCGGGAGAAGGCACGCUGAUAUGUAGGUGAAGUCCCUCGCGGAUGGAGCUGAAAUCAGUCGAAGAUACCAGCUGGCUGCAACUGUUUAUUAAAAACACAGCACUGUGCAAACACGAAAGUGGACGUAUACGGUGUGACGCCUGCCCGGUGCCGGAAGGUUAAUUGAUGGGGUCAGCGCAAGCGAAGCUCUUGAUCGAAGCCCCGGUAAACGGCGGCCGUAACUAUAACGGUCCUAAGGUAGCGAAAUUCCUUGUCGGGUAAGUUCCGACCUGCACGAAUGGCGUAAUGAUGGCCAGGCUGUCUCCACCCGAGACUCAGUGAAAUUGAACUCGCUGUGAAGAUGCAGUGUACCCGCGGCAAGACGGAAAGACCCCGUGAACCUUUACUAUAGCUUGACACUGAACAUUGAGCCUUGAUGUGUAGGAUAGGUGGGAGGCUUUGAAGUGUGGACGCCAGUCUGCAUGGAGCCGGCCUUGAAAUACCACCCUUUAAUGUUUGAUGUUCUAACGUUGACCCGUGAUCCGGGUUGCGGACAGUGUCUGGUGGGUAGUUUGACUGGGGCGGUCUCCUCCUAAAGAGUAACGGAGGAGCACGAAGGUUGGCUAAUCCUGGUCGGACAUCAGGAGGUUAGUGCAAUGGCAUAAGCCAGCUUGACUGCGAGCGUGACGGCGCGAGCAGGUGCGAAAGCAGGUCAUAGUGAUCCGGUGGUUCUGAAUGGAAGGGCCAUCGCUCAACGGAUAAAAGGUACUCCGGGGAUAACAGGCUGAUACCGCCCAAGAGUUCAUAUCGACGGCGGUGUUUGGCACCUCGAUGUCGGCUCAUCACAUCCUGGGGCUGAAGUAGGUCCCAAGGGUAUGGCUGUUCGCCAUUUAAAGUGGUACGCGAGCUGGGUUUAGAACGUCGUGAGACAGUUCGGUCCCUAUCUGCCGUGGGCGCUGGAGAACUGAGGGGGGCUGCUCCUAGUACGAGAGGACCGGAGUGGACGCAUCACUGGUGUUCGGGUUG